AUUGAACGCUGGCGGCAGGCCUAACACAUGCAAGUCGAGCGGUAGCACAGAGAGCUUGCUCUCGGGUGACGAGCGGCGGACGGGUGAGUAAUGUCUGGGAAACUGCCUGAUGGAGGGGGAUAACUACUGGAAACGGUAGCUAAUACCGCAUAACGUCGCAAGACCAAAGUGGGGGACCUUCGGGCUUCAUGCCAUCAGAUGUGCCCAGAUGGGAUUAGCUAGUAGGUGGGGUAACGGCUCACCUAGGCGACGAUCCCUAGCUGGUCUGAGAGGAUGACCGGCCACACUGGAACUGAGACACGGUCCCGACUCCUACGGGAGGCAGCAGUGGGGAAUAUUGCACAAUGGGCGCAAGCCUGAUGCAGCCAUGCCGCGUGUGUGAAGAAGGCCUUCGGGUUGUAAAGCACUUUCAGCGGGGAGGAAGGCGAUAAGGUUAAUAACCUUGUCGAUUGACGUUACCCGCAGAAGAAGCUCCGGCUAACUCCGUGCCAGCCGCCGCAGUAAGAC
rnacentral:rRNA from 1 species